ACAAUACAGACAAUGUUCACGAUACUGUACAGUUAUGUGUAUGUGCAGAAUUGGAACGUGACUGCAUUAACUGAUCAAUGAGAACGGUUCAUGUUGUACAGGUUCAGGGUGACAUUGCAAAUUGAUACCACCUGCAGGAUUCCCAUACGACUCAUGAAUCUGAAAGAAGCGAUUCAACAGCUGGUUAUUAGGUAGUACAUGACAUUUGUCAUCAACUUGAUUAUGUGGUGUCAAUAUGGCGUGCAGAAACCGUGUAUUUGAAACCGAAACAGGUCAAAUAAUUAGGUAGUACCUGAGACAGCUGUCUUGGAUCAGGAGCGCCGAAGAGAGACGAGCUGGAGCUGAAACUGAUGGCUCCUCUCCGGCUGAGGACAUGCUUAGGAACCGGCCUGUCUAGAGGCAAAACCGGCAGCUGAUAACAUACUUCCAUUGAACAAAGUCAGAGCUGGAUCCAGAUCAAAAUUCAAAUUUAAAAAAUGUAAUAAACAGAAAUGAAUUGAUAGAAUGGAAAAUGAAAUGCAGGAAACGAAUAGGGUUGAUUGCAGAGCGGUAUCCCUCCUUUGUGGGGGGAUCAGUUGUAAUGCUUCAGCAGUAAGGUAGGCUACUUGUUCUAGGCGACUUUAAACUUGACAAAAUCGCCGUCAUUGAUACAUUGUCUAUGUUUCUCGUCUCAUUUGGUCCCAUUCUAUUCGGAUUAUUUUCAUGCUGCUCAUUCGCUCCUUAUUCCACACAGAUUUGGGCCCUCAAAAGACGAGGCCUCUAUAUUUUCUGCAUCUUUAUAAAAACGCGUACUCAUUUUUUGUCCAAAACUCCUCUCAGACGUGAUCCAUCGUGAUACGUCUCAAAAUCUAAACAAAAGGAACGAACGACCCCUCAAAACACGACAGCUACCGAUAUACAGCACUGGUGGAUGAAGUGAAAGGAAUCCUACGAGGUAAAUAUUGGAGAAGUUGCCUUUACAGUGGUUUGGUGGUAUUCAUUUAACGUGCCAGAAGAAACAUUAUCAAUAUGUAUUCGGUCUUUUUUCACAAUACAAGUAUAAAUAGUACCCGUAAUUGACCACACUUCUGUCUCACUCAAUGCAGCACUGUGUAAUUUCAACAGAAAGUGGCUGGCUCAAGGGGAAACCCGACGUCAAUCUCACUCAAAUGUCGGCGUCCGGCAAACAAUAUUAAGUGCAACGAAAAAGCAAAAAUGUGAAUCAAGGAGAACUGGUGGCUGAGGUGUACCAUGGCAACAGUCAGGCUGAAUGCCAGUUGAGGGGCAUAAUGAGUACCCCUCUGGCCUCUCCUCCACUACAUCCCUCCCUCCCUCUCUUCUACGGCACUCUCAAUGCAAUUCCACACAAUCACACUCCUUGGGAGGUUCUGCGUCUUUUCCAGGCAACUGAAGCAACAGUGUGCCACAUCACUCCACCAGCCAGUCACUCACCCUCAGCGAAGACUAGGCACAUGAUAGUAGAACCCCAUAUCAACCUUAGCAAAGGACAAGCCAAUCCAGACCCAUUAAAUUAGACUAGAUAUCGACUGGUGACGUUCUAACGGGUCAGAAUGACUGGGCCUAGCUGUGGUGAUUAAUAAACUGCAUUUUUCAUACACAUUUCAAAAAGUGUAGUUGAGGUUGGUGUUUAUUUGAUAUUUUUUACUAAAUGUUUUCAACAAACCACUUGAUCACUCUAAAAUUACAUAAGUGUGUGCAUGCAUGUGUGUGUAUGUGUACACACUCCCAUGAGUGUGACUGUCUGUGGGAAAGGGUAGGAAAACAUUUGUUAAUUAAUUCCUCCAACAGUUCCUUUAUAGCACACACAUAUUGGUCCCUAGGCAGAUAUGCUCAGCUGCAUCAGGCACCCGGCAAGCCCAGGGGGCGCGGAGUAUAGAGCAUGGAGUACAGGGACAGGUUAGCUGCAUACCUGCUGAUUCUCCAAGCAGCUACAAGUAUCUUGUUGCAAUUCCCCCACACCUCCCACCCCCUCCUUUGUCUGUGACAGCCUUUAGGGAACCAGAGGAGUCGCUAGCGCUAAUUGAUGAUACAGAUAAGAGCGACUGACUAUUGGCAAAAAGUGGCAUUCCUUAUAUAACAUGUUCAGAUGUAAUAAGCCCACACGUUUAAUUUGUCUAGACUUGAACAAUAAACAUGACUGUUUUUUAUCAGGAAAUGAACCGUCAAUAAAAUUUGAAUCCAA